rnacentral:rRNA from 1 species
GACGAACGCUGGCGGCGUGCUUAACACAUGCAAGUCGAACGGAAAGGCCCCUUUGGGGGUACUCGAGUGGCGAACGGGUGAGUAACACGUGCGUAACCUGCCCUUGACUUCGGGAUAACUUCAGGAAACUGGGGCUAAUACCGGAUAGGAAUCCUUGCUGCAUGGUGGGGGUUGGAAAGCUUCGGCGGUUUUGGAUGGACUCGCGGCUUAUCAGCGUGUUGGUGGGGUAGUGGCUUACCAAGGCUUUGACGGGUAGCCGGCCUGAGAGGGCGACCGGCCACAGUGGGACUGAGAUACGGCCCAGACUCAUACGGGAGGCAGCAGUGGGGAAUAUUGCACAAUGGGCGGAAGCCUGAUGCAGCAACGCCGCGGGCGGGAUGACGGUCUUCGGGUUGUAAACCGCUUUCAGCAGGGGCGGAGCUUGUGGUGACGGUACCUGCAGAAGAAGCACCGGCUAACUACGUG